CCAUAGAUCCCCUAGAAAAGCCCCAUAGAUCCCCUAUAGGGUCCCCAUGGCUGCCCCAUAGAUCCCCUAUAAAAGCCCCAUAGAUGCCCUAUAGGGUCCACAUAGAUCCCCUAUAGGAUCCCUACGGCUGCCCCAUAGAUCCCCUAUAAAAGCCCCAUAGAUCCCCUAUAAAAGCCCUAUGGCUGCCCCAUAGAUGCCCUAUAGGGUCCCCAUGGCUGCCCCGUAGAUGCCCUAUAGGAUCCCCAUUGCUGCCCCAUAGAUCCCCUACAGGGUCCCCGUUGCUGCCCCAUAACAGUCCCAUAGAUCCCCUAUGGCUGCCCCAUAGAUCCCCUAUAGGGUACCCAUUGCCGCCCCAUAGAUGCCCAAUAGGGUCCCCAUGGCUGCCCCAUAGAUGGAGCCAUAUAUAGGGUAUCUAUGGGGCAGCCCUAGAGAUUCUAUAGGGGAUCUAUAGGGCAGCCAUGGGGACUCUAUAGGGGAUCUAUGGGGCAGCCAUGAAGAUCUAUGGGGCAGCCAUGGGGAUUUAUAGGGGAUCCAUGGGGCAGCCAUAGGGGAUCUAUGGGGCAGCCAUGAGGAUUCUAUAGGGGAUCUAUGGGGCAGCUCUGGGGAUUUAUAGGGGAUCUAUGGGGCAGCCCUGGGGAUUCUAUGGGGCAGCCAUAGAGAGUCCAUAGGAGAUCUAUGGGGCAGCCAUGGUGAUUUAUAGGGGAUCUAUAGGGCAGCAUAGGGAUCCUAUAGGGGAUCUAUGGGGCAGUCAUAGGGGAUCUAUAGGGCAGGGUGGGGGAGGGGCGGCCCCACAGCUGCCCCAUAGAGACCCCCCCGAUGUCCCCAAUGCCCCCAAUAUCCCCAAUGUCCCCCACCGUCCCCAUGUCCCCAUAUAUGGCCCCAUUGUCCCCCCGACGUCCCCAUUGUCCCCCCAUAUCCCCAUUUCCCCCCCCAUAUCCC
ensembl:lncRNA